rnacentral:rRNA from 2 species
GAAUGCUGACAUAAGUAACGAUAAAGCGGGUGAAAAGCCCGCUCGCCGGAAGACCAAGGGUUCCUGUCCAACGUUAAUCGGGGCAGGGUGAGUCGACCCCUAAGGCGAGGCCGAAAGGCGUAGUCGAUGGGAAACAGGUUAAUAUUCCUGUACUUGGUGUUACUGCGAAGGGGGGACGGAGAAGGCUAUGUUAGCCGGGCGACGGUUGUCCCGGUUUAAGCAUGUAGGCUGAUUAUCCAGGCAAAUCCGGAUAAUCAAGGCUGAGGUGUGAUGACGAGGCACUACGGUGCUGAAGUAACAAAUGCCCUGCUUCCAGGAAAAGCCUCUAAGCAUCAGGUAACAUCAAAUCGUACCCCAAACCGACACAGGUGGUCAGGUAGAGAAUACCAAGGCGCUUGAGAGAACUCGGGUGAAGGAACUAGGCAAAAUGGUGCCGUAACUUCGGGAGAAGGCACGCUGGUGUGUAGGUGAAGUCCCUGCGGAUGGAGCUGAGACCAGUCGAAGAUACCAGCUGGCUGCAACUGUUUAUUAAAAACACAGCACUGUGCAAACACGAAAGUGGACGUAUACGGUGUGACGCCUGCCCGGUGCCGGAAGGUUAAUUGAUGGGGUUAUCCGUAAGGAGAAGCUCUUGAUCGAAGCCCCGGUAAACGGCGGCCGUAACUAUAACGGUCCUAAGGUAGCGAAAUUCCUUGUCGGGUAAGUUCCGACCUGCACGAAUGGCGUAAUGAUGGCCAGGCUGUCUCCACCCGAGACUCAGUGAAAUUGAACUCGCUGUGAAGAUGCAGUGUACCCGCGGCAAGACGGAAAGACCCCGUGAACCUUUACUAUAGCUUGACACUGAACAUUGAGCCUUGAUGUGUAGGAUAGGUGGGAGGCUUUGAAGCGUGGACGCCAGUCUGCGUGGAGCCAACCUUGAAAUACCACCCUUUAAUGUUUGAUGUUCUAACGUUGGCCCCUUACCGGGGUUGCGGACAGUGUCUGGUGGGUAGUUUGACUGGGGCGGUCUCCUCCCAAAGCGUAACGGAGGAGCACGAAGGUUAGCUAAUCCUGGUCGGACAUCAGGAGGUUAGUGCAAUGGCAUAAGCUAGCUUGACUGCGAGCGUGACGGCGCGAGCAGGUGCGAAAGCAGGUCAUAGUGAUCCGGUGGUUCUGAAUGGAAGGGCCAUCGCUCAACGGAUAAAAGGUACUCCGGGGAUAACAGGCUGAUACCGCCCAAGAGUUCAUAUCGACGGCGGUGUUUGGCACCUCGAUGUCGGCUCAUCACAUCCUGGGGCUGAAGUAGGUCCCAAGGGUAUGGCUGUUCGCCAUUUAAAGUGGUACGCGAGCUGGGUUUAGAACGUCGUGAGACAGUUCGGUCCCUAUCUGCCGUGGGCGCUGGAGAAUUGAGGGGGGCUGCUCCUAGUACGAGAGGACCGGAGUGGACGCAUCACUGGUGUUCGGGUUGUCAUGCCAAUGGCACUGCCCGGUAGCUAAAUGCGGAAGAGAUAAGUGCUGAAAGCAUCUAAGCACGAAACUUGCCCCG